CCCUGAUCUGUUUACCUUUCCCUGGCCCCCUAUCUGAUGUCUGCCAUAAACACCAUGUGUUUUAGCAAUUUGAUGUAAUCUACAGUUCCUCGAGAGCGCUUUACAGCUUGUCUUGCUGUUCCUUCUGCCUGAGUAGGAAUGCUCAUCUUCUCCACUCUGCAGACUCCUUUUUAUCUCCAAGUCUCUGUACAAGGGCCACAGCUUCAGCCUUUUCUGCUUCCCCUGGGAGAGUAGCCCUUCUCUUCCGUAAGAGCUGAGAUCAGAUCUUAUUUAUCCUCCUAGUGAAUUGCCGCCUCAUAAUACACAUUCAGUAAAAACUUUGUUGAAAGAAUAAGUGAACAUUGAAAAGAAGUUAGAGUCAAAAAAAAAAAAAAUCAUCACUGAAAUCUGUAGUGAAAUCAGUUCUCAGCUAUACAAAGCCUUAGACCUGCAACUGCAGUAACACUCUUGGAAGCUUGAUAGAAACUCAGAAUCCCUACUGACCAGCAGGUUCCCUCCCAGACCUGCUUACUCAUCACUUCCUCAGGUGAUCUGUAGUAAUUGUAAAAUUUAAGAAAUAGGAUUCUAGGUCAUUUUUUCCCCAACAUAUGUGAGAUUUCCUAUGUUCAAAUGGAAUAUAUAUAUAUACACAUAUGCAUACACAUAUAUGUAUGUGUGUGCACGCUCAAUCAUGUCCGACUCUUUGGGAUACCAUGGGCUGUAUCCCACCAGGCUCCUUUGUCCAUGGAAUUCUCCAGGCAAGAAUACUGGAAUGAAUUGCCAUUCCCAUCUCCAGGGGAUCUUCCUGACCCAGGAUUCCCGGAUCUCCUGCAUUGGAGGCAGAUUCUUUACCAUCUGAGCCACCAGGAAAGACUAUAUAUAUAUAAAUCUUGGGAUGAGGGUGGGCCUAUGGAUCUAUGGAUUUGGAUCAAUUCCUGGAUUCCUUUCGGCCCUUUCUGAUCGGGGAGGGGUAGGUCCCAAAGUUUAUCUUGGCCUCACUUUACCUUGUAGAUACUGGCAAUGUGCCCCAUAAGGAAUGGAUGUAAUAAACUAUGAAAGGCUUAAAAAAGAAAAGUCAUUGGUAAAUGAGAUGAAAAGAUUGAAAACUAUCAAGGCUUUAUUAUUUAAACGUUACUAUAAGCAGUGUGACUCUGUUCUAAGAUAAACAUACAAAGGUGAAUGGUGUUAAAUAACACAGUUUUUGUGUAAUAGGAUUUCAGUUGUAUUAAAUUUUUUAUAGCAUGAUUUCCAAAAGUUUGGGGAAAUCUGAUAGUUUUGAAUAAUGGUUCUAAAAAGAAACACCAUGAAGUCUCAAAGUUAGAUGUCUUGACCAGACAUCUAAAUUUCCGAGUUUCUUUGCCAGAUUCUUUGAAACUGUUUUCAAAACUUUACAUGCUGAGAUUUAAAUUUGAUUCUAUUCAGAGCCCUCAUCUGUGGAUUUGAAGGAGGCUCUCUAAAAUUUUUAGAAGUCAAGUGUAGAUUUCUUUGGAAGUUCAUUUUCCCUCAUUGUCCUCCUCCUUCAUUAUAAAUAACCCCAGUCUGUCUCACUUUUUUAAAGUUUCCAGAAUAUUAGUGAUGUGGCCCCCUUUUAUGGCAUGUUGCCUCUCGUUCAACAUCUACACUGUCCAGCAAGGGAGUGCUUAGUCAUAUGUGGCUAUUUAAAUUACUAAAAAUUUUUAAAUUCUGGCCAGUCACACCACCUACACUUAAAAAUGUCCAGUAACCACAUGUGGUUGUGGCUCCCAAUUGGACAGCCAGAAAGUUCUGUUUUGUAGCACUAUUCUAAAAAAUGGUGAUUGCUGAUCAUAGUGGACCCAAAAAGUUGGCUCUUUACCUGAGCAAUUUUUUUAUUCAAAAUACUCUUCUCUCUACUGUAUUAUUUUAAAAAAAAGAAGAAUAACACCUAUUACCUUUGGUUAUUUUCCAUUAAAGUGUUAUAUGCUUGAACAAUUUUAAGGUUUUAUUUCCUUGAAGUUUUAAAAGAAAAUUUUUAGACAUCUUUCAAAUGCUAUUUCUGAUAACAGACAACAAUGUUGCAUUAAAUUAAAUAUAUUCAGUAUUCAUUUAGAGUUUUCAUACUGCAUCUAGGGCUUUCCAGAUUCUUUACUGUCUGAGCCACCAGGGAAGCCCCUUAAUGCUUUUGAAAACAGCUUGAAUGAAGAUCAUUGGCUGUAUUUUUAAAACAUGGCAAAAUUUAGAAGGUUAUGACUUUUACCCAUGAUAGCGGACAGAGGUGGCAGUUUUUUUAAAAAAAUACAUGUGUAGCU
ensembl:lncRNA